CAGUACAUAUGGUCCGCUGAGUCCUGCCAGAAGUAGUGAUCACUUGGCAGAGCCAAUUGCAAGUCCAGAGCACCACCAGAAAAUGUUGAAAAGUGGACUCAUCAUUCAGUAUGAGAGAGGUGCCAGAUGAAUGAAAGAACCAGUUAAGGAGGAGAAAAGUGUUUUGUUUGUUAGGGGGUCACCUCUGGUGAUGUUCGGGGUUACUCCUGGCUACUUAAGAAUGACUCUUGGUGGUGCUCAGGGGACCAAGUGGAAAGCAGGGGAUCGUACCCAUGUUGG